ensembl:lncRNA
AUAUUGCCAUAUUGAGUCAUGGCGGCAACAACUCCCGGGAAGCACCUGUGACUUAGCUCAUCACAUUGCUCUGGGCCAGUGGGCAACUAAAUUUGGCAAAGACAUUGAGGUGCAUCUCUCCAACCACGGUUUCCCUCAUCAAACUACUGUACAUUCUUGUGGCAUCUUAAUGUUGAUGUAUGCACUCAGCCUGAGCACAGAGGCUCCAUUUUGGUUCAUGGAGAGGGACAUGGCACGCAUCUGAAAAUGGUGGUGCAUUAGUCUAAUGGAACGGUUCCAGAUUGACGGCCAUGGACAGAGGUUUGCAUACUGGACUAAUGAGGCCAGAGCAUUGCUCCAAGGUUCACUGCAGCCGAUAUACAGGGUCCCAAGGUCAGCAAGAGGGAACAUGAGGUUUCGAUUAGAAAAGGAUGACAGGUGCGUCAUAUUGGAGUUACCAACGUGUGUGCUUUCUGAAAUCCUAAAUGAAAUGGUACUACAGGAAGGAGAUAAGGCAUACUUAAGAUUGGCUCUUGUGUGUACCACCUUCAGGGACACUGGCCCUCAUUUAUCAAAAGUGCAUACACCAAAUUUCCAGCGUACACCCAAAACCACGGUGACUUUGAGAUUUAUCAAUAUGGACGUUGGCACUCUCAAAUCCUACGCCAGCUCAGGAGGUGGUGUACGCACGUUCUGAGUUAAUGCGGAAAUGCGCAGGAAAAAAAUCCUAACGCACUGACAAACUAAAAGAUAUGAUAUAUUAUGACCCACUGUAAAAAAAAAACUUCAGUGUUUAGUUUUGUGCAACAUGGACUUCAAUGUUUAAUUUGUGUGACUUUACCAAAGCAUUUGAUUUAUAUGUAUUCCUUCAGAUGCGAGCCUGUGCGCUUUACAUGACGUUUCAGGGUUAGGCCAGGCAGUUGCGCACGGACUGGGUUCAGUAAUAAAAGGCUUUUAAUGACCAAAAUAUAAUUCAGACUGUCAUUUUUAUUAUUUUGUCAUUCUUCUUCUUUUAAAUAAUAAUAAUAAUAAUAAUAAUAAUAAUAAUAAUAAUAAUAGAAAUAGAAAUAAUAAUAAUAACGACAUUCUUCUUCUAAAUAACAAUAAACGUCGUUAAUAAUAAAUAUCAUAAAAUAAUAAGACGACUAUUACAAAUUGUCAUGCAAUUAUUAAUGUGAAUAAAUUGUAUUCCACAUCACAUAAUAAUUUUUUAUUCCGCUUUUUAAACUGCCAAAUGAAACAAUUUUAUUUCUUUCUACCUCCCUGGUGAUCGUCUCAAUCUCCACGUCAGAGAAGUUUCUCUUUUUUGCCGUCUUCCGUGUGUCCAUGGCGUAAAAUGAGGGCGUGGGGGAAGUGGAGACUUGAAUAUAUAGGGGCGUGUUAUUCUAAUGACGGUCGUCUUCAGCUGCGGCAUUUAUCAAGGGCAGGUAUUGCGUACACCUGGAUUUUAAAGGUACGCACAGCUUCAUAAAUCAGGCGGUGAGAGGAGUGUAAGCAAAAUCUUACGCCAACAUAUACACCCGUUUCUACGCAAGAAUGAUAAAUGAGGGCCACUGUGUCCACUCACUCCUUCAGGAGACGGGCACAUUUUCAGUGGCUUGACAGUAAGUGUUUAAAUAAAGGGUGCUGUGGUAUACAAUACUUGAGUACCUCACGUGUGUUUUCACUAACCUUAUGGAAAUGUUCACUUUUGAUUGAUAAUUUGUUUUUCACAGGUGUCGCUACAUGGAGCAGGUUUUCUGAGUCCUACAGAAAAGAAUUCUACACCAUGUACACCGUGGACACCUGUCGUGAAUGUGGAAUGCUUUUCAAAAACUGCACACCUGUCUAGCCUGAAGGUUGUUGCCAGACAUCUGCUCAUCUGCACAAUCCUCUGGAUUGUCACCCUCUUCCUCAUGCUGAGGAUGGUCCUCCACAUCCAAGAUGUCGUCCAUAGAGAGACAAAGGUUGUGGAGAAUGCAGCAGGCAGCAACCACCUUGGGGCACAAACAGAGGACGCAUUACCAGAGCCCUCAGAAAGAUGGAUCUCCAACGGGUUUUCAGCAUGCCAAAUGUGCGCUCGAUUACUCACCUUGGUGUGGUGUACGUAGAACCGGGCCUCAUGGUGUAGAAACGUUAUACAGUUGCAUUAUUUGGUAGUGUUGUUAUUUACUGUGUUAUUUAAGUCCACUACCAAGAUCAUCAUGUAUAAGUCUAAGUCUUUGAUCAGUGUUGAAAACAAAGGGUACUUGGUAGUGAUCUCAGACAUUUGGAGCCCACUGUGUGUUUGUGUGUUUUGGCAACCUUGGAUUUAGGUCCAGUAAAUAUCCCAAGCAGCUACAGGCUGUUGAAACGUGGUGAUAACAGCCACGGGAUGCUGCAGGCAUGGAUAUUCACCAUCUUCUGAAAAUAAUUCUGUUUGAUUUUGUUCAAUAAAGUGUUUUAG